AUCACCACACACUGGAGGCUGUCCGCGUCUGGAUAUAGUGACAGUGAACCCGAGGUCCUUGAUGCAGAUAAAGAUGCAGCUGUGGUUAUCCUGGGAAGGAAGUGUACACAGUUUGAAAGGAAUAAAUGCACCCUCAGCCAGGGGAAAUGGAGAAACAAAAAGGCUGUACCUGGUGUAAGCCUUGCUGAUGGCAGAACAAGUGGGCCAAUUCUGUGUGUCACAGAAUUGCAGCGAUUCUGCCAUGUUCAGCCCAGCCCAGUCAUUGUAGAAGGUGUUCCUGUGAAGAGUCAGGCAUUCUCUGGUUCCCUGCUUGUAAUACUGGUGUUACUGGGUUUCCAUCUGUAAAACGAGGAACACAACUGUAUUUAGUCAACAGAAUUGUGGGAAUUGAGGAGAAGAUACAUGUGAAACAUUUGAAUCGUUCAUGGCACUUGAGAAGUACUCAAAAAGCUUUGCCUCUAUCAUCAUGGGUAUGUGUAUUUUCUGAUCAAUAACUGGUAUAUGUAUUUAAAAUAUUAUUAUGGAAAUCAAUCCAGAAAUG
rnacentral:lncRNA from 1 species